rnacentral:misc_RNA from 1 species
GAUGAAGAACGUAGCGAAAUGCGAUAAGUAAUGUGAAUUGCAGAAUUCAGUGAAUCAUCGAAUCUUUGAACGCACCUUGCGCCUUUUGGUAUUCCGAAAGGCACACCUGUUUGAGCGUCAUGAAUACCUCAAUCUCCAUCUUUUCUUCGGAUUGAUGGGUGACUUGGAUGUUGAGCCCUGCUGGUAUGCUAUAUCAGCUGGCUUUAAACUUAUUAGCCGGCUCUGUACUGGAUCGGUUUGACUCGACGUGAUAAUAUUAUCGUUGAGGAUGCAUGUCUCAUGCAGCCGGAAAGUAUCAAAGCAGCUUCUAGCUUGCCUUUAGUGCACUUUUACAUUUUAGACCUCAGAUCAGGUGGGACUACCCGCUGAACUUAAGCAUAUCAAUACGGAGGA